UCCGCAAUGGUUUGUUGUCUACCC
rnacentral:siRNA from 1 species